CGACAUCACAUUCUCGCGUUUCUCUAUCAUAUUUGGGCCGAGUUCGGUGAUAAUACGAAUCCAACGGAUCAGAUGACAGAUUGAAUUAUGUCCCCGAGCGUUGACGCCUCUCCCGCAUGAAGGAUUAAUUUCCCAAUCGAUAGCAGUUGUUCCAAUAAAGAGCUCGGAGUCAUACGAGAAAAGCGACGUUUAUAGAAUCCCACAUAAAGCGUUACGAGAUUGGCUCAAUUUUAUAUAAUGUAACGUAAAAGAUUCUGACUAUAUGGAUCUCAAAAGUUUAACCGAAAGCAACGCAGCGGGAUUCUACUAUACUUUAUUUAUCGUAAUCGAGAUAUGAUCGAGAUAUGAAAAUAUAAAAUGUCUUAGUUAAAGCGUUUCUAAAUCUUGAAAGCUUGACAAAGUGCGACCGUGAUCUACUAACCGAACAGCAAGUCAACGUCUGAAAAUGUGUAACAAUAAAUUAC